GGGCCCGCACAAGCGGUGGAGUAUGUGGUUUAAUUCGAUGCAACGCGAAGAACCUUACCAGGGUUUGACAUCCUGCGAAUCUCUUGGAAACGAGAGAGUGCCUUCGGGAACGCAGUGACAGGUGGUGCAUGGCUGUCGUCAGCUCGUGUCGUGAGAUGUUGGGUUAAGUCCCGCAACGAGCGCAACCCACGUCUUUAGUUGCCAGCAUUUAGUUGGGCACUCUAGGGAGACUGCCGGUGAUAAGCCGGAGGAAGGUGGGGAUGACGUCAAGUCCUCAUGGCCUUUAUGCCCAGGGCUACACACGUGCUACAAUGGUAGGUACAGAGGGGAGCGAAGUUGCGAAGCGGAGCG
rnacentral:rRNA from 1 species